rnacentral:rRNA from 1 species
CAGCAGCCGCGGGAAUACGGAGGGUGCAAGCGUUAAUCGGAAUUACUGGGCGUAAAGCGCACGCAGGCGGUCUGUCAAGUCAGAUGUGAAAUCCCCGGGCUUAAUCUGGGAACUGCAUUUGAAACUGGCAGGCUAGAGUCUUGUAGAGGGGGGUAGAAUUCCAGGUGUAGCGGUGGAAUGCGUAGAGAUCUGGAGGAAUACCGGUGGCGAAGGCGGCCCCCUGGACAAAGACUGACGCUCAGGUGCGAAAGCGUGGGGAGCAAGCAGGAUUAGAUACCCCAGUAGUCCCUGUCUCUUAUAC